rnacentral:tRNA from 1 species
GCGCCUGUAGCUCAACUGGAUAGAGCGCCAGACUUCGAAUCUGGAGGCCGGCGGUUCGAGUCCGUCCAGGCGCA